AGAGUUUGAUCCUGGCUCAGAUUGAACGCUGGCGGCAUGCCUAACACAUGCAAGUCGAACGGUAACGCGGAGAGCUUGCUCUCUGGCGACGAGUGGCGGACGGGUGAGUAACGCGUAGGAAUCUGCCUAGUAGUGGGGGACAACCUGGGGAAACCCAGGCUAAUACCGCAUACGCCCUAAGGGGGAAAGCGGGGGAUCUUCGGACCUCGCGCUAUUAGAUGAGCCUGCGUCGGAUUAGCUAGUUGGUGGGGUAAAAGCCUACCAAGGCGACGAUCCGUAGCUGGUCUGAGAGGAUGAUCAGCCACACCGGGACUGAGACACGGCCCGGACUCCUACGGGAGGCAGCAGUGGGGAAUAUUGGACAAUGGGGGAAACCCUGAUCCAGCAAUGCCGCGUGUGUGAAGAAGGCCUGCGGGUUGUAAAGCACUUUCAAUUGGGAAGAAAAGCAGUCGGGUAAUAUCCGGCUGUCUUGACGUUACCUUUACAAGAAGCACCGGCUAACUCCGUGCCAGCAGCCGCGGUAAUACGGGGGGUGCAAGCGUUAUUCGGAAUUACUGGGCGUAAAGAGCGCGUAGGCGGUCUUUUAAGUCAGGUGUGAAAGCCCGGGGCUCAACCCCGGAAGUGCACUUGAAACUAAGGGACUUGAGUAUGGGAGAGGGAAGUGGAAUUCCUGGUGUAGCGGUGAAAUGCGUAGAUAUCAGGAGGAACACCGGUGGCGAAGGCGACUUCCUGGACCAAUACUGACGCUGAGGCGCGAAGGCGUGGGGAGCAAACAGGAUUAGAUACCCUGGUAGUCCACGCAGUAAACGGUGAACACUAGGUGUAGCGGGUAUUGACCCCUGCUGUGCCGCAGCAAACGCAUUAAGUGUUCCGCCUGGGGAGUACGGCCGCAAGGUUAAAACUCAAAGGAAUUGACGG
rnacentral:rRNA from 1 species